AAGCCAUCGGAGCAUCCCGGGCCACUGAAAAGAAGCCAGCCUUCUAUUAAGGUCAAGCCGUUUUUCCCAUCAAAGGUUUUCAGUUCAAUUUUCCCCCUAGGGUGCAUUCAUCUUGCAUCCAUUGUGCGUUGUAAACACAAAGCCGAUUGGCCCCAGAAGCGCACGAUGACAGAAUUACUUCAUUUUUACACAGAUGAGGUCCAUUUUAGCCCUCUAUUCUGAUGCUCUCCUGGAGCUCAGAACCGAUGAACUUUCCGAAUAUUCCCCAUUGAGGCAAAGUGUUAGACGCCUUUAUGGCACUCGGGGUGUCUUUAAAGUCUCUUUAUUCCCGCGUUUGAUUCAUCGGUUCCUCCUCUUGCUUCUCCAGGCGAGCGUGAAGGGCAACGGUCGCCUGGUCCACGGCUACCCCUCCAUCAUCGAGAAGAAGAAAGGCCCGGAGGAGGAGGGGGGGGGCGAGGAGGAGGUGGAGGAGGAGCAGGACAACAACCAUGAAGAGGAGGGAGACGAAGAUGACGAUGGCGAAGAAGAGGCGGGGAGUCCCUCGCCCGCGCUGGAGUGGGACCAGGUGGUGUACCUGAGGGACGGCGACAAGGGCCCGGGCCCCGGCGGGAAGGGCCCCGGGGGGCCCCGGAGGAAGAGGAGGAGUCAGCGGGGGGCCCUGGUCACCCUGGACCCGUUGAACCUCAGCCCCAGGGUCGUGGACGGUACGGAGGACAUCGAGGGUCAGGAGGGCUCCCCGGCCUUCUCCUACCCCCCCGGCCUGGCCUGCCCCGGGGCUCCGGCCUCCGCCACAGACAUGCUGCAGGUCAGCACCGCAGAGCUCGCAGCCAAGGCAGAGGAGACCAGAGGCCAGCUACGACACCUCGACCAGGAGGUAGGACCCUGGGUGUGUGUGUGUGUGUGUGUGUGUGUGUGUGUGUGUGUGUGUGUGUGUGUGUGUGUGUGUGUGUGUGUGUGUGUGCCAGUUUGGCUCCACCGUGACUCGACCCGGUGUUCUGUGACUCAGGUGAGCUGCGGGUGUGCCAGGUACGUACACCAUACGGUGUCAGCGGCGGCAGUAGAUGGUUAGGGGGUGGAAAGGGAUUGGGACAGUUUGGAAGAAAUUCAACAUUCCCAAUGAUGAAUUGGUGGGUGGCCUAAAGGAAGCUGCUG
rnacentral:lncRNA from 1 species